UUUCUUCUAUUCUUCUCUCUAUACGUUAGUGUUCUAACCAAUAAUCACCGAUGCGAUGUUCUGUCCGAUCGAUUCAAGAACCAUCUAAUAAAUGCCAAAGUGCUGUACUUUGUGAAUUUUGGUAAACGGAAUCCAAAGUGCUAUACUUUGUGAAUUUUGUUAAGGUUCGAAUCUUGUGACUACCGUUAGGUUUGAUUUGGAUUUUACACAAAUACGUAUUCCAUUAUGUUAAACUAUAUGUUUAACUACCAGAAUACUCCCAACUACACACUUACAAUCAAACAAGCUGUUAAAUCAUUAGAAGAUUCAGAACAAUAAAGUAUACGCUUAAUUAUCAGAAGGAAUAGAAUCAAGAAGCCGGCUAAAUCAUGCUUAUACUGUAAUUACAGUAGAUCGGAAUAAGAGAUGGAUACGACACCAAAAGGCUUACAGAAGUGGCUUAAAUUUUAUCAAUUAAAUUAAAUUAAGAAAAGUUAUUUUAUGCAAUCGGGUUUAUCCCAUAUUAAAGCUACCUUUAUAAAACGUGGGUUUAUCCCAUCUGUUUAAAAUAAAUAAAAUCCGGUGUUUAUAAACUCUGAUAUUUUUCCUAACUCACGGUCCUGAUGAAAUUUCCGCUGCAAUGUUUUCAAAAAUAACCACCGGUACCACUUGGCUGCUCGCGGCUCCCGAUUCCGGCCAGGAUGGGGUCGGGGGUCGUGACAAAACCUGAGGACUUGAAGAGGUUUCAAGGCACUCAGGGAAAAUCAGCAUCUGCGGAAAUUGUUUCCGGUGUAUCUUGGGCGAGUGCUAUGGCGUCUUUGAACUAAAUUGUUAUCAAGAUCCCUUCAUGGAUCCACCGCAAGUCCCCACAGGUGCCUGAAGUCGGCAGCAAAGAGAAACCCAAUGGGGUUAAAACUAGUAGUGGGGUGGUAGGGGGAAACAGUGGUGGUGGAGGUGCCAAAGAAAACGGUGGUGGUGGAGGUGUCAAAAGAAAUGUUAAAGAAGGUGGGAACGGUGGUGGCAAUGGCGGUGGUGGCAAUGGCGGUGGCGGCAAUGGUGGUGGGGAAUAGCUGUUAUGCUGGUGGCGGUAGGUGUUGUUAACUUUUGUGAUUAACGUUUUUUUCAUUUCCAGGAAGGUGUUUGCACCAAUUAACUUAGAAAUUUUUGUUUCCAUCAUGAUGAGAUAGUAUUAUAUUAGUUUCUUAUGAUUGAUGAUGAUGAUGUUUGGAUAUGGAAUUUUUAUAUAUGGAAUGGAAUGGAAAGAUAUUAUUGUAUC
rnacentral:lncRNA from 1 species